rnacentral:rRNA from 1 species
UACGUAGGGUGCGAGCGUUGUCCGGAAUUAUUGGGCGUAAAGAGCUCGUAGGCGGUUUUGUCGCGUCUGCUGUGAAAUCCCAGGGCUUAACCCUGGGCCUGCAGUGGGUACGGGCAAACUAGAGUGCGGUAGGGGAGAUCGGAAUUCCUGGUGUAGCGGUGAAAUUCGUAGAUAUCAGGAGGAACACCGGUGGCGAAGGCGGAUCUCUGGGCCGAUACUGACGCUGAGGAGCGAAAGCGUGGGGAGCGAACAGG